ensembl:lncRNA
UGAGACUAUAAGGAGUACCAGUACUGAGUCAAUGUGCAGGGUACCAGGUAGUUGAGGUAAUAAUGAGGCUAUAAGGAGUACCAGUACUGAGUCAAUGUGCAGGGUACCAGGUAGUUGAGGUAAUAAUGAGGACUAUAAGGAGUACCAGUACUGAGUCAAUGUGCAGGGUACCAGGUAGUUGAGGUAAUAAUGAGGCUAUAAGGAGUACCAGUACUGAGUCAAUGUGCAGGGUACCAGGUAGUUGAGGUAAUAAUGAGACUAUAAGGAGUACCAGUACUGAGUCAAUGUGCAGGGUACCAGGUAGCUGAGGUAAUAAUGAGACUAUAAGGAGUACCAGUACUGAGUCAAUGUGCAGGGUACCAGGUAGUUGAGGUAAUAAUGAGACUAUAAGGAGUACCAGUACUGAGUCAAUGUGCAGGGUACCAGGUAGUUGAGGUAAUAAUGAGGCUAUAAGGAGUACCAGUACUGAGUCAAUGUGCAGGGUACCAGGUAGUUGAGGUAAUAAUGAGGCUAUAAGGAGUACCAGUACUGAGUCAAUGUGCAGGGUACCAGGUAGUUGAGGUAAUAAUGAGACUAUAAGGAGUACCAGUACUGAGUCAAUGUGCAGGGUACCAGGUAGUUGAGGUAAUAAUGAGACUAUAAGGAGUACCAGUACUGAGUCAAUGUGCAGGGUACCAGGUAGUUGACGUAAUAUGCACAUGUAGGUAAGUAUAAAAGUGACUAGACAAUCAGGAUAGAGAUUACAUCUCCUCAUCCGAGGAGUACAUACACAUCCGCACGAACACACACACACACACAGACGGAAUGUGGAGUUUGUUUAAUAUUGUUUUAGGAAUAUGAAAAUGGACAAAAUGAUUAGCCUACAGAUUAUGAAAACAGCAACAAUAAAUGGGAAAGUGGGAGAGGAGAAAUGACUAGAGACAGUGUUGUUUAACUCACUGACCAGGACCCAUGAGUUCUUCUUACCUUUGUUCAGUAGAAAAGUCUCCCUCUCUAAAGUAUAGAGGAGGAUCCAUAGACCGGUCACUCUUCAUGGACACACAGCUGGGAACAGGGAGGCUGGUCUCUCCUGCCUGAUUGGACUUCAACACAACAGAGACAAACAUUACAUCUCUCAUCUCCUCUGAGCUCAGAUGGGGAAACAGAAGAAGAGUUUCACAAAUUUCAUAAAUGGUUAUUUUAUGGUUGUAAGUGGUGAAAUGAACUAGAAAAUGUUAUAUAAUUACUACUUUAGUAAGGAAUUACACAUUAUUCAGUACUACUGCAGUUGCUACAUAAUUCCAAUAGAUGGCAGCAGAAGACCACUAAUGACAUUUCAGAAGAUUAGUUUAGUUUUCUCCCU